AGAGAGAGAUUCCCCUGCAUUGGGUACGAAACCAAGGGGGCAGGAGAGGUGAAGGCUCCGGCAGAGUCCUAGAGACUUCCCAUCUCUUUUCCAAACCUGGGAAAGCACUAAGCUUUGGGGAAGAGGCAGGAAGACUAGGGCCUGUCCCACACGGAGCCACCAAAAAAAGCCCACAUGCUGCUUUUGUCCUGGCCACAUGUUGGACCACUUUGAUCUAAAGAGUAGGCCAGGCAAGGUCAUUGUGUGGCUAACUGCCACAAUAGGGUUCUUAAAAUAUUAAUACAGUGGUGCCUCACAAGACGAAAUUAAUCCGUUCCGCGAGUGUCUUUGUCUAGCGGUUUUUUCGUCUUGCGAAGCAACCCUAUUAGCGGCUUAACAGAUUAGCGCUAUUAGCGGUUUAGCGGCUAUUAAAGGCUUAUUGGCUUAGCGGAUUAGCUGCUAAAAGGCUAUUAAAGGCUUAGCGGCUUAGAUAAAGGGGGGGGGGAAGCGAAAAAAAUCUUUUUUUUAAAAAAAAUAAUUUUUAUUAAGGUUUCAAUAAAAAGUUGAACAGAAAAAUCAUAAAAAAGAAAUACACAAAUACACAAUACAAAUUCC